rnacentral:rRNA from 1 species
CCGCUAUUGGAGUUCGAUUAAGCCAUGCGAGUCGCGAGAAAUUAGAUUCUCGGCGUACCGCUCAGUAACACGUGGGUAACCUGCCCUAUGCUGGAUAAUAACCUCGGGAAACUGAGUAUAAUGAUCCAUAGUUCACUACGCCUGGAACGGUGAGUGGAUGAAAGCUCCGGCGGCAUAGGAUGGGCCUGCGGCGUAUCAGGUUGUAGGGGGUGUAACGUACCCUCUAGCCCUCUACGCGUACGGGUGUUGGGAGACAUAGCCCGGAGAUGGAUUCUGAGACACGAAUCCAGACCCUACGGGGUGCAGCAGGCGCGAAAACUUGGCAAUGCGAGAAAUCGUGACCAGGGAACUCCAAGUGCAUCGGGUAAGACCGGUGCUUUUCUUGACUCUAAAUAGGUCUUGGAAUAAGGGGUGGGUAAGGACGGUGCCAGCCGCCGCGGUAAUACCGGCGCCUCAAGUGGUAGUCGCUUUUAUUGGGCCUAAAACGUCCGUAGCCGGUCUGAUACAUUCGUGGGUAAAUCAACCAGCUCAACUGGUUGAAUUCUGCGAGGACGGUCAGACUUGGGACCGGGAGAGGUGUGGGGUACGCUCAGGGUAGGGGUAAAAUCCUGUCAUCCUGAGCGGACCACCUGUUGCGAAGGCGCCACACUAGAACGGAUCCGACGGUCAGGGACGAAGCCUAGGGGCACGAACCGGAUUAGAUACCCGGGUAGUCCUAGGUGUAAACGCUGUGGACUUGAUGUUGGGGGUGCUCCGAGCACUCUCAGUGUCGAAGCGAAGGUGAUAAGUCCACUGCCUGGGAAGUACGGUCGCAAGGCUGAAACUUAAAGGAAUUGGCGGGGGAGCACCGCAACCUGAGGAUUGUGCGG